UCUUGUGUGAGCCAGUGGUUGCUGUUUACGACGUGUUCAUAUAUCGAUUUGAAGCGCUGUAAUGUGCAAAUUAGCGGACUUUAUAGCGGCUCUCUAUUUUCCGUCGUUGUCUUUCGAGCAGCGCCUGUUGUUGCGGUAAAAAUCGUGUUGAAUGAAUCGCCACAGCCCCAACGUAUAUCGCGCAGUGUUGACCAAGUCAAGCAGGAAUUCUGGCAUGGUAUGUGGCUGCACGGAGGAUUCCGAAAAGGAAAAACAACAACAUGGCUAAUAGGAUGUUGCUGCCCAGGGAGUCCUGGCGAAGAGGUUUACUCAUUCCAGAAGCAAGAAUUGUAUCAUUGUAAGGCGA